CCUUAGAUGUUCUGGGCUGCACGCGCGUUACACUGGCGGAGCCAGCGAGUACUCCCUUGGCCGAAAGGUCCGGGUAAUCUUGUUAAACUCCGCCGUGCUGGGGAUAGAGCAUUGCAAUUAUUGCUCUUCAACGAGGAAUCCCUAGUAAGCGCAAGUCAUCAGCUUGCGUUGAUUACGUCCCUGCCCUUUGUACACACCGCCCGUCGCUACUACCGAUUGAAUGGCUUAGUGAGGCGUUCGGACUGGCCCAGAGAGGUGGGCAACUACCACUCAGGGCCGGAAAGUUCUCCAAACUUGGUCAUUUAGAGGAAGUAAAAGUCGUAACAAGGUCUCCGUUGGUGAACCAGCGGAGGGAUCAUUA
rnacentral:rRNA from 2 species